GAGUUUGAUCCUGGCUCAGAUUGAAGGCGCGGCGGCAGGCCUAACACAUGCAAGUCGAGCGGCAGCACGGGUACUUGUACCUGGUGGCGAGCGGCGGACGGGUGAGUAAUGCCUAGGAAUCUGCCUGGUAGUGGGGGAUAACGCUCGGAAACGGACGCUAAUACCGCAUACGUCCUACGGGAGAAAGCAGGGGACCUUCGGGCCUUGCGCUAUCAGAUGAGCCUAGGUCGGAUUAGCUAGUUGGUGAGGUAAUGGCUCACCAAGGCGACGAUCCGUAACUGGUCUGAGAGGAUGAUCAGUCACACUGGAACUGAGACACGGUCCAGACUCCUACGGGAGGCAGCAGUGGGGAAUAUUGGACAAUGGGCGAAAGCCUGAUCCAGCCAUGCCGCGUGUGUGAAGAAGGUCUUCGGAUUGUAAAGCACUUUAAGUUGGGAGGAAGGGCAGUUACCUAAUACGUAAUUGUUUUGACGUUACCGACAGAAUAAGCACCGGCUAACUCUGUGCCAGCAGCCGCGGUAAUACAGAGGGUGCAAGCGUUAAUCGGAAUUACUGGGCGUAAAGCGCGCGUAGGUGGUUCGUUAAGUUGGAUGUGAAAUCCCCGGGCUCAACCUGGGAACUGCAUUCAAAACUGACGAGCUAGAGUAUGGUAGAGGGUGGUGGAAUUUCCUGUGUAGCGGUGAAAUGCGUAGAUAUAGGAAGGAACACCAGUGGCGAAGGCGACCACCUGGACUGAUACUGACACUGAGGUGCGAAAGCGUGGGGAGCAAACAGGAUUAGAUACCCUAGUAGUCCACGCC
rnacentral:rRNA from 1 species